rnacentral:rRNA from 1 species
GGUGGCGCUGCCUAUACUGCAAGUCGAGCGGAGUGGAUAGGAAGCUUGCUUCCUUGAUGCUUAGCGGCGGACGGGUGAGUAACACGUAGGCAACCUGCCCUCAAGCUUGGGACAACUACCGGAAACGGUAGCUAAUACCGAAUACUUGUUUUCUUCGCCUGAAGAAAACUGGAAAGACGGAGCAAUCUGUCACUUGAGGAUGGGCCUGCGGCGCAUUAGCUAGUUGGUGAGGUAACGGCUCACCAAGGCGACGAUGCGUAGCCGACCUGAGAGGGUGAUCGGCCACACUGGGACUGAGACACGGCCCAGACUCCUACGGGAGGCAGCAGUAGGGAAUCUUCCGCAAUGGGCGAAAGCCUGACGGAGCAAUGCCGCGUGAGUGAUGAAGGUUUUCGGAUCG